UACGUAGGGUGCGAGCGUUGUCCGGAAUUACUGGGCGUAAAGAGCUCGUAGGUGGUUUGUCGCGUUGUCCGUGAAAACUCACAACUCAAUUGUGGGCGUGCGGGCGAUACGGGCAGACUGGAGUACUGCAGGGGAGACUGGAAUUCCUGGUGUAGCGGUGGAAUGCGUAGAGAUCGGGAGGAACACCGGUGGCGAAGGCGGGUCUCUGGGCAAUUCCUGACGCUGAGGCGCGAAAGCGUGGGGAGCAAACGGG
rnacentral:rRNA from 1 species